CCUACGGGAGGCAGCAGUGAGGAAUAUUGGUCAAUGGACGAGAGCCUGAACCAGCCAAGUAGCGUGAAGGAUGACUGCCCUAUGGGUUGUAAACUUCUUUUAUAUGGGAAUAAAACAGGGUAUGCAUACCCUCUUGUAUGUACCAUAUGAAUAAGGAUCGGCUAACUCCGUGCCAGCAGCCGCGGUAAUACGGAGGAUCCGAGCGUUAUCCGGAUUUAUUGGGUUUAAAGGGAGCGUAGGUGGAUUGUUAAGUCAGUUGUGAAAGUUUGCGGCUCAACCGUAAAAUUGCAGUUGAAACUGGCAGUCUUGAGUACAGUAGAGGUGGGCGGAAUUCGUGGUGGAGCGGUGAAAUGCUUAGAUAUCACGAAGAACUCCGAUUGCGAAGGCAGCUCACUGGACUGCAACUGACACUGAUGCUCGAAAGUGUGGGUAUCAAACAGGAUUAGAUACCCCUGUAGUC
rnacentral:rRNA from 1 species